CCUACGGGAGGCAGCAGUGGGGAAUAUUGCACAAUGGGGGAAACCCUGAUGCAGCGACGCCGCGUGAGUGAAGAAGUAUUUCGGUAUGUAAAGCUCUAUCAGCAGGGAAGAAGAAAGACGGUACCUGACUAAGAAGCCCCGGCUAAAUGCGUGCCAGCAGCCGAGGUAAUACGUAGGGGGCAAGCGUUAUCCGGAUUUACUGGGUGUAACGGGAGCGUAGACGGCUGGGCAAGUCUGAAGUGAAAGCCCAGGGCUCAACCCUGGGACUGCUUUGGAAACUGUGGAGCUAGAGUGCAGGAGAGGUAAGUGGAAUUCGUAGUGUAGCGGUGAAAUGCGUAGAUAUUAGGAGGAACACCAGUGGCGAAGGCGGCUUACUGGACAGUAACUGACGUUGAGGCUCGAAAGCGUGGGGAGCAAACAGGAUUAGAUACCCUUGUAGUC
rnacentral:rRNA from 1 species